CUCUCGCGAGAUGUCUCUGAUCCCAGAUGUCUGAGGCCAGGUGUCAUUGCUGCCCUAGGCGUGUGAAGGAACCGAGUCAAGCGGGUAUCCUCCUGGCAGCCUGUUGAGUCGCAUCAAGAUUUCAGGUACCGUGAGGAGGCGCAUAGCUGAAGUUUGGAAACGGCAGCACCGAAGCGGAUGUAGAGAACAUGUCGCCGUCCACGUCCGGCUGACGAUGGAUUUUGUCCGGUCGUCUUGCAAAAGCUAAGUGUCGGGGCCAGUAGGUGGGAGAAGGGGAAAAACCUUUACUAUCACAGGAGACAAUUUGAUGUUAGCUUAGAGGAGAGGCCCAUAGUGGGACGGGCCCCUCGGAAGCAGAGGGAGAGGGUUUCUCCUCAGCCUCACCAGAGUCUUCGCCGGGCAGGGCAGUUCCGAUCCGUCUUCGCGUCCUCGCGAGGUUUGCGUCGGCGGCCUUCUUCGACUCUCGACGUCGUCGUGGAUCUUUUCACCCGAGGAGCUCGCCUUCACGUCCGGAGCUCUAGCCACGGUCACGCCGUAGUCAUCGCUUUCUUGUCUAGGCCUACUGAGCUUCUUAGGCUUCCUCUUAAGUCCUUUGGCACUAACAUCUUGAAAGGAGUUAAAUUUCAUCAUCACAUGCUAUUGCCCUAGGGCUUUCUUUCCUUUGGCAUCAUCGGCCUAUGACUCAUCUUGGACUAGCAAUCUUGGGUCCAUAAGGUGGAACUGCCAGGCAGUUUUCACUCGUGUCCGUGUUAUGUCGUCCGUGUCCGUGUUAUGUCGUCCGUGUCCGUGUUAUG